GCCCCUGUUAUAUCUUACAGACUGUCACAGAAUCCUUGCUGCUAACGGAUUCUGCUUACCUUUCACAAUAAGCAAUUAACAGAUUCCUUCUGAUUUUCCACAUUGUUUCCUCACAGUGAAACAUACUGUAUCAUUUGUUGGCUAUUAUUUCGUCAUGGUGAUGAAUGACCUGUGAUGUACAUUUUGUGUAUUUGUAUUUUGUCACGGUGAUGUAACCUAUGUUACCGCUUUCUGUGAACAUUGCUCCACU